GUCACCGUGGUGGAAUUGGAAUACACGCCAGCUUGAGGUGCUGGGCUCCAUCGUGAGUUUGAGGGUUCGAGUCCCUCCGGUGACACCA
rnacentral:tRNA from 1 species